AACGAACGCUGGCGGCGCGCCUAAUACAUGCAAGUCGAGCGAGAAGACGUAGCAAUACGUUUGUAAAGCGGCGAACGGGUGAGGAAUACAUGGGUAACCUACCCUCGAGUGGGGAAUAACUAGCCGAAAGGUUAGCUAAUACCGCGUACGCUCCUUGGACUUCGGUUCAGGGAGGAAAGCGAUACCGUGGGUAUCGCGCUCUUGGAUGGGCUCAUGUCCUAUCAGCUUGUUGGUGAGGUAACGGCUCACCAAGGCUUCGACGGGUAGCUGGUCUGAGAGGACGAUCAGCCACACUGGCACUGCGACACGGGCCAGACUCCUACGGGAGGCAGCAGUAAGGAAUAUUGCGCAAUGGGCGAAAGCCUGACGCAGCGACGCCGCGUGGGGGAUGAAGGUCUUCGGAUUGUAAACCCCUUUCGGGAGGGAAGAUGGAACGAGCAAUCGUUCGGACGGUACCUCCAGAAGCAGCCACGGCUAAC
rnacentral:rRNA from 1 species